UUAAGUUCAGCGGGUAUCCCUACCUGAUCCGAGGUCAACCUGAGAAAAUUUCCCUGCGAAGGGAGCAGACCGUGGCCCGCCGACCCUGGUUCGGCACGUGCUCGGUUAAGAAGCUCAGUGUACCGGGGGUCAGACAAAGCCGCCGUCAUUGUCUUUGGGAGGGGUCGGGCGAAGCCCAACCGACCCUCCAAGGCCAAACC
rnacentral:misc_RNA from 1 species